UUGAUCUCAAAUCAGGUGGGACUACCCGCUGAACUUAAGCAUAUCAAUAAGCGGAGGAAAAGAAACUAACGAGGAUUCCCCUAGUAACUGCGAGUGAAGCGGGAAAAGCUCAAAUUUGAAAUCUGGCGGUCUGUUGGCCGUCCGAGUUGUAGUCUGGAGAAGUGCUUUCCGCGCCGGACCAUGUAAAAGUCCUCUGGAAUGGGGCGUCAUAGAGGGUGAGAAUCCCGUCUUUGACAUGGACCGCCGGUGCUUUGUGAUGCGCUCUCGAAGAGUCGAGUUGUUUGGGAAUGCAGCUCAAAAUGGGUGGUGAAUUCCAUCUAAAGCUAAACAUUGGCGAGAGACCGAUAGCGAACAAGUACCGUGAGGGAAAGAUGAAAAGCACUUUGGAAAGAGAGUUAAACAGUACGUGAAAUUGUUGAAAGGGAAACGCUUGAAGUCAGUCGUGUCGUCUGGGAUUCAGCCUUGCUAUCUUGCUUGGUGCACUUUCCAGUUCGAUGGGCCAGCAUCGAUUUUGACCGCCGGACAAAGGUGGGGGAAAGGUGGCAUCCUUUACUGGGUGUGUUAUAGUCUCUCGUCGGUAUACGGUGGCCAGGAUCGAGGAACUCAGCACGCCCUUUUGUGGUCGGGGC
rnacentral:rRNA from 1 species